ACUAAUAUGGCAGAAUAUUGCAAUGAACUUAAGAUUCAUAAAUAAAGUUAUACUUUUUUUAGUA
rnacentral:tRNA from 1 species